rnacentral:lncRNA from 1 species
AGUAAGUUAGUUUAUUUAUUUAUUUAUUUGUUUGUUUUUCAUUUUUCUCAUUGCCAGGCUGAAUUAUUGGAAUUUAAACAAAAGCAGGAAGAGGAAACCAGGACAAGAACACUAAAAAAUGAACAGAGGAGGGUAAAUAAUGCUUUCCUGGACCGACUCCAGAACAGAACACAGCCUAAUAACAUCUACCACCCUGGAUAUACUGGACUACCUCAAUAAUGGCACCUUGGAGUCAAACUACUUGGAAUAAAGGAGGAGCAAGGGUAUUGCAGAAAUAUUCACUUUUAUCUGGCCUACGCCAAAUGACUUUGUAAAAGCUCCAAGAAACUGCUCUUUAUUGUGAUUCUUUUCUUACCCUGACUUCAGCUGCACACCAUCUUCAUGAGCAAUCUGCAGAGACUGGUUUCUAGCUGUCAUUAUUCAUGCAUACAUAUUUGAAACAGCUGAUUAUGAAAGUCCUAUUUAAUUUUUAAUAAGAAUAUGUAUAAUUUUUUU